rnacentral:lncRNA from 1 species
UUUUUCAGCCUCAUUUCACUUAGGCAGUUUCAUUGCCAAGCUCACUGUUUUUGCUAAUUUUUUAACUUGUUUGCUGUUUUGUGUGUUUGCUGUUUUUAAUUACAAAUGGCUGGAUUUUCAAGUGAUGCAUCCUACAAGCAGAAUUCUCCUUCCAAAGCUUCAAUUCUUGGUGAAUUACAUGAAGCUCAAAGAACAAUUAGACGGUUGGAGGAGAAAAU